rnacentral:lncRNA from 1 species
GCCAAUAAAAUUUGCCUAAACUCAUGAAAGCUUCAAUUCAUCUGCCACGUUUUUUCCAGAAAAUCCCCAGUUCUCCUUCUCAUGCGGGUGAACACAAUAACCACGCAAGCAAGGAUCCAUGGGGGAAUACGACCACCUGAAAGGUUCAACUUCCUUGCCCAAUCUGGCGGGGCCUCCUUGAUACCAAAUACUAUCAAAACGGUUAUAAAUGCAACUGGUAAAUAACGGAGCCAUCUUUGUAAGACCAAAGAUCUGCCAUUUCUGGGAUUAAAUCGGAUCGCGGCUCCGCGACCUGACCCAGGAGUGAAAGCAUGGACGGAUUUGAACCCGUAUUUGUCCAGAAUAUCGCGGACCUCCAACUGGUCUUGGUCCCACCCAC